UACAGAGGGUGCGAGCGUUAAUCGGAAUUACUGGGCGUAAAGCGCGCGUAGGCGGCUUUGCAAGUCGGGUGUGAAAUCCCCAGGCUUAACCUGGGAACUGCAUUCGAGACUGCAUUGCUAGAGUAUGGGAGAGGGAAGUGGAAUUUCCGGUGUAGCGGUGAAAUGCGUAGAUAUCAGGAAGAACACCCGUGGCGAAGGCGGCUCUCUGGUACGUGACUGACGCUGAGACGCGAAAGCGUGGGGAGCAAACAGG
rnacentral:rRNA from 1 species